rnacentral:rRNA from 1 species
UGAGGAAUUUUGCGCAAUGGGGGCAACCCUGACGCAGCAACGCCGCGUGAGUGAAGAAGGCCUUUGGGUCGUAAAGCUCUGUCAACUGGGAAGAAAUUAGUUUUAUUUAAUAGAUAAGGCUAUUGACGGUACCAGUGGAGGAAGCGCCGGCUAACUCCGUGCCAGCAGCCGCGGUAACACGGGGGGCGCAAGCGUUAUUCGGAAUUAUUGGGCGUAAAGGGCGCGCAGGCGGUCUUGUCCGUCAGGUGUGAAAGCCCGGGGCUCAACCCCGGAAGUGCACUUGAAACAGCAAGACUUGAAUACGGGAGAGGAGAGAGGAAUUCCUGGUGUAGAGGUGAAAUUCGUAGAUAUCAGGAGGAACACCGAUGGCGAAGGCAUCUCUCUGGACCGAUAUUGACGCUGAGGCGCGAAGGCGUGGGUAGCGAACGGGAUUAGAUACCCCGGUAGUCCACGCAGUAAACGUUGUACACUCGGUGUGGCGGAUAUUAAAAUCUGCUGUGCCUAAGCUAACGCAUUAAGUGUACCGCCUGGGAAGUACGGUCGCAAGACUA